CAAAUCGUAUACGCAACGCAUAUUUUCAUGUAAAACUGUCAAAUUUAUGUAUAGUUUUGAUAAUGGCGCUUUGUUAUAAAAUUUACUUUAAUUCAAGUAUUUUACAUUUAAUCAUUUGGUUUUUCAUGGUUUGGCCAAUAAGAAUCAGCAAUGCAUUUAGGAUCCCGGAAAUUGGUGAAUAUAAAAGUCAAGUUGGGUUAGCAUUAACCGAGAUCAGCCCUAGAAGGAGUAUGGUUUACUGUGGUGGAACAUUAGUAACCCUGCUGCAUGUGGUAGUAACUCCACAAUGCUUCUUGAAUACCCGAUUUGUAUGUGAAAUUAUUGGCCAAAAAGUGUACGCGGGGAUGAAUAAUUAUCUGGACCCCGACUUGAAGUACUUACAAAUUAGACAUGUAUCAACUGUUAUUAGGCAUCCUCGAUCUACAGAUUCUGAUCAAAUAUUGAAUGCACUGAUGGUCUUGACACUGAAUUCAUCUUUUAUACAAACAUGUGCAGUUCGAUCCGCCAUGAUGGCUUCAGUGAAUCCACCUAUGAAAACUAGAUGCUCUCUGUUGUUCUGGCGAGAUUUAAGGCAACAUAUGGAAAGACCUUGGGCUCCGAUUGUCUUAAAAAAAUAUGUUUCCGAAUGCACAGGAAAAUAUUCUAAGGAGAAACCUGGAGUGUUAUGUUUUAAAAAUGUUGUUGCUGGUGAACAACUAACGGAUAUAGAUUUGGAUGACGUUUAUGCAACUGUCCUGUGAAGCGAAAGAGUAUAUGAAGUUACUGCUGAAAGUGUUGCAUAUCACAGCGAUUGGAUUAAUGAUGUUAUUGGAAGGAAACGGUUUCAUCACGCGAGUUCAAUUGGACGCCUU
rnacentral:misc_RNA from 1 species